AUUGAACGCUGGCGGCAUGCUUUACACAUGCAAGUCGAACGGCAGCACGGAGAGCUUGCUCUCUGGUGGCGAGUGGCGAACGGGUGAGUAAUACAUCGGAACGUACCCAGUAGUGGGGGACAACCAGCCGAAAGGUUGGCUAAUACCGCAUAAUACCUACGGGGGAAAGCAGGGGACCUUAGGGCCUUGUGCUACUGGAGCGGCCGAUGACAGAUUAGGUAGUUGGUGGGGUAAAGGCCUACCAAGCCCGCGAUCUGUAGCUGGUCUGAGAGGAUGAUCAGCCACACUGGGACUGAGACACGGCCCAGACUCCUACGGGAGGCAGCAGUGGGGAAUUUUGGACAAUGGGGGAAACCCUGAUCCAGCCAUGCCGCGUGCAGGAUGAAGGCCUUCGGGUCGUAAACUGCUUUUGUCAGGGAAGAAAGACGAAUUAUUAAUACCAAUUUGCGCUGACGGUACCUGAAGAAUAAGCACCGGCUAACUACGUGCCAGCAGCCGCCGUAAC
rnacentral:rRNA from 1 species